rnacentral:rRNA from 1 species
UGUUAGCUUGCUAACAGGCGUCGAGUGGCGGACGGGUGAGUAACGCGUAGGAAUCUACCAAUAGCCGGGGGAUAGCCCGGGAGAAAUCCGGAUUAAUACCGCAUAACUCUCUACGGAGUAAAGAGGGCCUCUAUUAUAAGCUUUCACUAUUUGAUGAGCCUGCGUAAGAUUAGCUUGUUGGUGAGGUAAGGCUCACCAGGCGACGAUCUUUAGCUGGUCUGAGAGGAUGAUCAGCCACACUGGGACUGAGACACGGCCCAGACUCC